rnacentral:lncRNA from 1 species
GUCCAAGAAAAGUCAUGGAUUUUCAAUUUUUCUAGCUUUUCCUUGAAAGACAAGACUAAUGACUUCAAAGCUCUGCAUAUGUCAAAGCCAAAAUAAGAAGUUUCAAUCAAAAUUUAAAACAUGACUUUCUUUAGCCCAGCAAUCAUUUUUCAGAGUUUUAUGCUGUGCAUUUUCUUGGAUAAGAGCACAAAGUACAGACACAGGGUGGACAUUUUUGGCACUAUGAAGGCCAUCUGAUAAGAUGUGAACCAGCCACCACCUUAUGGCUCAGAGAGCAGAGAAAAAUACACUGGAAGAAGGCAUUGCCAUGUGGAACAGCAGUGAGGCAUCUUUUUCUCACAUUUGUGAAGGCUGUGAGUCACUCAAAUCACGGCUUUUUACCCCGGAAAGGGGCCUUAGAAAUCAUCCUGUGUAGCUGAGCUGCGGGCCUGCACCCCACAUUGGGGCACCACCUGUAGCUGACCCCAUCCUCGGCCUUGUUCUGGGAUCUAGCCUCACUGCUUUGUUCUUCCCAGUGGGGGAUGAAUGAGGAUGAAUGAGGACAAAGAGCAAAGAGACCCAGAGUCAGCAUAACAUGUGGGCGCCAGGGGCUCCGGCCUCUCUCAGGCAGGGAAGCCCCCGAGUCUGGCUCAUCUCGCCUUUAUUCACCCAAACAUGGGCGCAAACAAUCAAAACAACACAAGUCAGCCGCCUCCCAAUGUCCACUGGUUCGUGCUCAGGCUCCACCUCCCACCCCUCAUCUCACGGUGAUGCCAGCAAACCACGUCUCCCCCAUGGACUGAGGCCCUGGAGAACUCAGUGCUCUGACAACAGCGGUACUCUGGCCGCAGUGGGGAGGAAGCCCUCAGUCCAUGAGUCUCUGGGGGCCCUGCAUGUCAACACCCUACCGGUCAGCAUCACUUACGGCACCGUGAAGUGUGUGAACGCCGUGAAGACAGGCAGCGCGGGUGAGGGGAGCCCUGCACAGGGCCAGCCUUGUGACAAG